UUACAAUGGCGCAGUUUUGGUGCCCGCGGAUAUGUCCAUAUCCGCAGUUAAACGGGAAAUACGAUGCCUGAUGGCAAACGUGUGCUGCCCCCGCAACGGUAAGCAAGCGUCAGUUCGAAGCAUUAGUUCAACUGGCAGAUCGCCCCUCAAACCACUGUGCAUCUUGCAUGGGAAGGUGGGACGUUCAGGCUUGUCAGCCCGGAUACCGGCCAGAACAGGUGAAAGCAA
rnacentral:ncRNA from 2 species